rnacentral:tRNA from 1 species
AUCGCCUUCGUGCGCGGGCAUAAGGAGAUCUACCGGAUCAUCGACGAAGCCGAAUUCGUCGAUCCCGAAUCGUUCAAGCUCCAUUACGCGACC